rnacentral:rRNA from 1 species
AGUGAACGCUGAUGGUAGGCCUAACACAUGCAAGUCGAACGGCAGCACAGGAGAGCUUGCUCUCUGGGUGGCGAGUGGCGGACGGGUGAGGAAUACAUCGGAAUCUACUCUGUCGUGGGGGAUAACGUAGGGAAACUUACGCUAAUACCGCAUACGACCUACGGGUGAAAGCAGGGGAUCUUCGGACCUUGCGCGAUUGAAUGAGCCGAUGUCGGAUUAGCUAGUUGGCGGGGUAAAGGCCCACCAAGGCGACGAUCCGUAGCUGGUCUGGGAGGAUGAUCAGCCCAACUGGAACUUAGACACGGUCCAGACUCCUACGGGAGGCAGCAGUGGGGAAUAUUGGACAAUGGGCGCAAGCCUAAUCCAGCCAUACCGCGUGGGUGAAGAAGGCCUUCGGGUUGUAAAGCCCUUUUGUUGGGAAAGAAAUCCAGCUGGCUAAUACCCGGUUGGGAUGACGGUACCCAAAGAAUAAGCACCGGCUAACUUCGUGCCAGCAGCCGCCGUAA